rnacentral:misc_RNA from 1 species
CUGGGUUGAAACUAGGCGGAUCAUCUUACUAAAAAAAUAUAUAUUUAAUGGUCGUGAAGUCUGGGCCUGAAGGAUGCAUUUUGAAGGUUAUUGCCAUUUACAUUAUAUCACAAACUUGGCAUAUUUUUCUUUAUACACAUAUACACACACAUAUCUAUUAAAUUACUUUAUAAAAUUUAUCAAAAUUAUUUUUUCUAUUAACUUAAAUUAUACUGUAUCAAUAUACCAACCGCAAUAAAUUUUUAGGAUAAAG